UCCUCUGAGUGCAUUUGAUUCUCAGAGAAGUACUCAGUCAUAUAUUCAAAAUAUAUGUAAAAAAGAUAAUAAGAAUGGAAAGUAAUGUUCUUGUGAGCAUCUUCAACAAGUUAAGCAUUAAAUUUAAUAAAUAACACUACUCAAUAUUAUCGGUGCAGAUCAGAUGGAGAGCAACAAUUCUUACGUUGACAACUCGACCUUCGAUAGGAAUUGAAACCCUGCUAAUGUGCCUAGAGAUGUAGGCACAGUUGAAAGUAUUGUUGGUAAUGUACUACUCCAUAUCGAGGAACAACAGGAAGCCUACCAAAAAUUUUAUCAUGGAUACCUUGGUCUAUUUCAUACACAAAACGUGAUUACAGAUGUUUUGGAACUCCACACACGUAUAAGUGCUAGAUUAAGAUAAUUGGUUUUCCAUUAAGCACUAAAGUCCAUACAUACAAAUUUCCCCAGUCAACAUGUCUUGACGGCAAGAAGUGUUGCUCCAUAUGCUUGAAUGACUACUACGACAAGGAAAAACUCAUUGAAAUCAAUUGUGGUCAUUUAUACCACUUUGGUUGUAUUAGAGAGUGGAUCAAGCUUAAUAACUCUUGCCCUAUUUGCAAGAGAGAUGCAAGUGCAACAAUCAAUUAAAUUUUUUGUUUGGUGGACUAACUAGUGGAAAGGCGUUAUUAAGCUCAAGAGAGUUGAAUUAAAUCUAAAAUUAAGGAACCAUUUUAAGGUUGAGGAAACAAUGGUCUUUAAGUUUGAUAUUUUUCUUUCAUUUUCGACUAAACUAAGUUUUAUCAAGAUUUUGUAGGUGAGUAUAAGUUGGUACUCAUGUUGGUUUGAGUUUUGACAUUGAGAAAAUUUUGUUCAUAAUCGAUGCUUAACUACAGAUUUGUAAAACCUCUUGAUUCUGAUCUUUGAAGCCUCCCCAUAUGUUUCUAUAUAGAAGGUAGGCAUUCUAUUCAACUAAAAACCAACAACAAAAAAAGUAUGUAUUGUCAUUCAAAAUCAUCAAUAACAAAAAUCUCUAGGUUGAUUCACUUCUCUGCGGCCAUUGUCACGGUGACAACCCUAGAAAUCACAAGCACAUAUUUUGUUGAGAGAGAGAGAGAGAGCCAUCAGCGAAGCAUCUAGA